rnacentral:rRNA from 1 species
GACGAACGCGGGCGGCGUGCCUAAUACAUGCAAGUAGAACGCUGAAGGAGGAGCUUGCUCUUCUGGAUGAGUUGCGAACGGGUGAGUAACGCGUAGGUAACCUGCCUGGUAGCGGGGGAUAACUAUUGGAAACGAUAGCUAAUACCGCAUAAGAGUAGAUGUUGCAUGACAUUUACUUAAAAGGUGCAAUUGCAUCACUACCAGGUGGACCUGCGUUGUAUUAGCUAGUUGGUGGGGUAACGGCUCACCAAGGCGACGAUACAUAGCCGACCUGAGAGGGUGAUCGGCCACACUGGGACUGAGACACGGCCCAGACUCCUACGGGAGGCAGCAGUAGGGAAUCUUCGGCAAUGGGGGCAACCCUGACCGAGCAACGCCGCGUGAGUGAAGAAGGUUUUCGGAUCGUAAAGCUCUGUUGUAAGAGAAGAACGAGUGUGAGAGUGGAAAGUUCACACUGUGACGGUAACUUACCAGAAAGGGACGGCUAACUACGUGCCAGCAGCCGCGGUAAUACGUAGGUCCCGAGCGUUAUCCGGAUUUAUUGGGCGUAAAGCGAGCGCAGGCGGUUAGAUAAGUCUGAAGUUAAAGGCUGUGGCUUAACCAUAGUACGCUUUGGAAACUGUUUAACUUGAGUGCAGAAGGGGAGAGUGGAAUUCCAUGUGUAGCGGUGAAAUGCGUAGAUAUAUGGAGGAACACCGGUGGCGAAAGCGGCUCUCUGGUCUGUAACUGACGCUGAGGCUCGAAAGCGUGGGGAGCAAACAGG